rnacentral:SRP_RNA from 1 species
CCGUGCUAGGCGGGGAGGUAGCGGUGCCCUGUAACCCGCAAUCCGCUAAAGCGGGGCUGAAUCCCCGCCCGAGACCCGCUCUCUUCGGAGCCAGGGCCGCCGCGUGCGGCGUUGAACGCCGGGCCCCACGCAACGCAUACUUGUGAACCCCGCCAGGACCGGGAGGUAGCAACGGUAAGCAAGACCAUGCGUGUGCCGUGGGCGAACCUGACGGGAGCCGACCGCGACGGUGACGUCCGGGGAGGAGGGCCGGAGGCGGGUGCACGG